rnacentral:rRNA from 1 species
GAUGAACGCUGGCGGCGUGCCUAAUACAUGCAAGUCGAACGCUUCACUUCGGUGAAGAGUGGCGAACGGGUGAGUAAUACAUAAGUAACCUGGCAUCUACAGGGGGAUAACUGAUAGAAACGUCAGCUAAGACCGCAUAGGUGUAGAGAUCGCAUGAACUCUAUAUGAAAAGUGCUACGGGACUGGUAGAUGAUGGACUUAUGGCGCAUUAGCUGGUUGGUAGGGUAACGGCCUACCAAGGCGACGAUGCGUAGCCGACCUGAGAGGGUGACCGGCCACACUGGGACUGAGACACGGCCCAGACUCCUACGGGAGGCAGCAGUAGGGAAUUUUCGGCAAUGGGGGAAACCCCGACCGAGCAACGCCGCGUGAAGGAAGAAGUAAUUCGUUAUGUAAACUUCUGUCAUAGAGGAAGAACGGUGGAUAUAGGGAAUGAUAUCCAAGUGACGGUACUCUAUAAGAAAGCCACGGCUAACUACGUGCCAGCCGCCGCAGUAA